UACGUAGGGACCGAGCGUUGUCCGGAAUCAUUGGGCGUAAAGAGCGUGUAGGCGGCCACUUAAGUCCUGCGUGAAAUCCUGCGGCUCAACCGCAGGCGGUCGUGGGAAACUGGGUGUCUAGAGUGCAGGAGAGGUAAGUGGAAUUCCUAGUGUAGCGGUGAAAUGCGUAGAGAUUAGGAAGAACACCAGUGGCGAAGGCGACUUACUGGACUGUAACUGACGCUGAGG
rnacentral:rRNA from 1 species